GCCAUGAUAUAUGGUUAGAUGUCACUCAUGGCUUGUGAGUUCUUCUAGAUGAUUAAAUAAGUAGUCCUCAAAGAAGAAGGAGAAUUAAAAGUAAGUUUUAAUUCACUAAGUGAUUGGAUUAAAUAUAGUCAAUUGGAUUGGUGCCAAUCACCUCACUGCCUUGCUAAUUAGAACCUAAAAUGAUUGUACACCGAUACACUCUUUUAGUGAGACUACUAAUGGAUGAUGGAAAUAAUUAAUUGGAUUAAUUAAGUGUUGUGAUUAAUUAGAAAGUCUAAAGAAAUCAUAAAAGCGAUAAAAGAUCAUUUUGGGCUUAAAGAAAAGUUCGGGUUCAUUUGGGCCCAUUGGGCCCAAACCCAUUGGGUCCUUUUAUUCAAGCAUAGGAUGACUUGAAAUAAUAAAAGCCCAAAAGCCCAAACAACACAAAGGGGCCGGCCAAAUAAAGGGAAAGGGAGAGAGAGGGAGUCAAGUGGUUGGCUAACUUUCUUUGAGAUAUAAAAGGAACUUUUAGUGAAAAGUUUCAUUAGGGUUUUUGUGUGUUCUUUUCACAUAAGAAGAAAAUAUCUCUCUCUCUAAAUUCCCACACAAAGGCCGGCCACCAUAAGGGAGAUUUUAGCUAAUCAUCUUCUCUCCCUUUUGGUCAUUCCUCCAUCCAUCUCACUACACUAGUGGGUGUGGAUCUUUAGAGGUCUUCAACCUUGGAGACUAAAGGAGAACCAAGGAGCACUCAUUCUAGCAAGGUGGAGGAAGCAAGGAGGGAGGCUAGGCUCAAGGAGUUCCAAGAACAAAGAGCUUGGAGGUGGUCCAUCCUUGGUCUCAAGUCUAGAUCAAGAGGUAUAAAACUAUACCUUCACUUUGUUCUUCAAUAAAAUGUUUAGAUGCAUCAUAUAUGAACCUAUGCUUCUUGAAGGGGAUUUGCAUGACUAUAGCUUUGAUAUUAUGUGAUAACAUGCUUCCGUUGCUAAUGUAUAUAAAUUUUGAAUUGUAUAUACAUGCUAGUCACUAGAAGUCCCACAUAAAUCUCAUUAUUUCCCUUCAAGUAGUGCCUCUUCGAAAUCAGGAGAGUGGUGCCUCUUCGAUUUUUGAACCAAUGGCCCUGUUGCCCUUUCUUUUAUAAGGGCACCAAUUGUGUGCAAGAAGUACAUUCAGAGAGUUAUUGCUUGUAGGAAAUUUCCCCUUACUUCAGAGAUUUAUUGCACCUCAUUUCUCCUUCAUCAUUUCUGAGAAUGUCUGGCCCAUCCGACCGUCGUUUUGACUUGAACUUUGGUGAAGAGGCAGCAAUGCCUUCUCAAGACAACAUAUGGCGUCCAUCCUUCUUAUCUUCUACUGGUCAUCUUACCAUUGGGGACUCUGUGAUGAAGAAUGAUAUGACCGCUGCGAUGGUGGCCAGGAACCUUCUCACUCCCAAAGAUAACAGACUACUUUCCAAACGGUCUGAUGAGUUGGCUGUUAAGGAUUCUCUGGCUCUCAGUGUUCAGUGUGCAGGUUCUGUGUCUAAUAUGGCCCAACGCCUAUUUGCUCGAACCGCCAAGUUGAAUCAUUGGCGGCUGAAGUGAUAAGUCUCAAACAGGAGAUCAGUGGUCUUAAGCAUAAGAAUAAACAGUUGCACAUGCUCGCACAUGACUAUGCUACAAACAUGAAGAGGAAGCUCGACCAGCUGCAGGAAUCUGAUGGUCAGAUUUUACUUGAUCAUCAUAGGUUUGUGGGUUUGUUCCAAAGGCAUUUAUUGCCUUUGUCUUCUGGGGCUGUACUGCGUAAUGAAGUUCCAAAUGAUUAACCUUCGGUGCCUCCUCCUUCUGGUGUUUUGCCUAGUACUGAGGCUCCGAAUAAUCACUCUAUGGUGCCUCCUCUUUCUAGGGCUCUGCCGACUGCUGAUACUUCUCCUAAGCAACCUUUGUGAAGGCUCCCUCUUGUUUGUUUAUUUUGAUUCAUGUAUAUGUACAUAUUUGUAACUUAUCGGAGAUAUCAAUAAACAAGCUUUGCUUCAUUUCAACGUAUUGUGUUAAAUACAUCAAUAGACAAGUUCUUUGAAUUUUUCCUUUUUUUAAAGCUUGUAUGUUGAAGCUUUGUGAGUGAAGCAUGUAGGUUGAGGUAGUGCUCCCUUAAUUUCCCGAGUAAGGAAAACUUCUCGUUUGGAGACUUCAAAAAUCCAAGUCACUGAGUAGUCGUGAGACUUCCAAGUAUCAAGGAGCAGUAGCAUAUGGUAGGAGUCCCCCAAGUCUCUGUCGGAGAUAUGCCCUGAAAGUCAAUCUUUGGAAGAAACCUUUCAGGACAAUGAAUGAGUGUAUAGAUGACUCUUAUACAUCAAAAGGCAAAGAUACUAAUUAUGACUAUCUCAGUAAACGAUAUAUAUCCUAAAUAGUGAAUCCAUGGACAAUGGAUCGAUGGAAGAAGUAAUCUAAUGAUGUUAGACUACAGAGACCUUCUUCUCAUAACCAUCAUGUCCAAAAGGUUCCUGGUCAUAAGGAUUGUCAGAGGGAUACUGACAAUGCAUAGACCAGUACAUACUAUGUCCCUUCAAUUGAAAGGAUGGAAAGUCUCAUCCCAUUCGUGUAGUGACACUAAGACAGGUAUGUAGGUGCUCAUUAAGGGAAUGAGUUCACUAAACACAAUCAAACGAGAGUACUUGCAUGGAGGUCUACUCACAUGUCAAGCAAGUAACUCUAAUGGUUGGAAUAAUGUAAGUAAUCAUUUGACCUGAGACAUCAUAGUUGUCUUGGGGAUACGUUGCUGAUCAUUUUGAUAAUGAGACGUGACCACACCUCAUCUUGGGUGUGUUCUAUGCAUUGUUGGGGUCAGUGGCUUAGUCUCAGAGGCAUAUGAAUGAUCAACAAGGGAUCUCUAAUCCUCGUUACGAGAGGAUGAAUACUCUAAGAUAUGAUUCGGGAAUCUUCAGCCGAAGUAUCGAGCAUAAUAAAGGAAAGCGUUCCUAUACGACUCAAUUGAAUCAUAUAACAUGGAAUAAUCACAUUAGGGGUUUGACAUAAUAUAUCCAUACCCUAAUAAUGUGAUUGAGAGUAUUGUUUUAGAGAAUGAUCAAAUUACAUUGUAAUUCCAACUGAAUAGGUUCUCCGAACAAAUUCUACAUUAGCUUGGGUAGCCAUGAUAUAUGGUUAGAUGUCACUCAUGGGUUGUGAGUUCUUCUAGAUGAUUAAAAUAAGUAGUCGUCAAAGAAGAAGGAGAAUUAAAAGUAAGUUUUAAUUCACUAAGUGAUUGGAUUAAAUAUAAUCAAUUGGAUUGGUGCCAAUCACCUCACUGCCUUGCUAAUUAGAACCUAAAAUGAUUGUACACCGAUACACUCUUGUAGUGAGACAACUAUUGGAUGAUGGAAAUAAUUAAUUGGAUUAAUUAAGUGUUGUGAUUAAUUAGAAAGUCUAAAGAAAUCAUAAAAGCGAUAAAAGAUCGUUUUGGACUUAAAGAAAAGUUCGGGUUAAUAUGGGCCCAUUAAGCCCAAACCCAUUGGGCUUUUAUUUAAGCAUAGGAUGACUUGAAAUGAUAAAAGCCCAAAGCCCAAACAACACUAAAGGGGCCGGCCAAAUAAAGGGAAAGAGAGAGAGAGGGAGUCAAGUUGUUGGCUAACUAUCUUUGAGAUAUAAAAGGAACUUUUAGUGAAAAGUUUCAUUAGGGUUUUGUGUGUUCA
rnacentral:lncRNA from 1 species